CUUGAGGCUGACGCAUGCAACGCGUCAUGCGCACUCACGCACACCGUCGCCUGCGCUAAGGAUAAACUGGACUGCGCUGAGAGUGACCUGGACAAGCAGCAGCGCCUCUACCUCCUCAUGCGGCGCGAGCGCGACAAGCUUCUCGCCGAUAUUAUUCAGGUGCGUCACGAGAACUCCCGCCUGACUCACCAGCACGGGCGACUAGUGGACGAACACAAGCCACUAGCAGAGCAGUGCAGCGCUCUGCACCAUGAGAAGAAGCAGCUACUGGAUAAGAUUAAUACCCUAACUCUGCACGCGGAGGAGCGAUCGAACUCUGUAGCGCGGCUACGCGCGGAACAGGACGU
rnacentral:lncRNA from 1 species